rnacentral:rRNA from 1 species
CCCUUAGAUGUCCUGGGCCGCACGCGCGCUACACUGACACGCCCAUCAAGCUUACAACCUUGGCCGGGAGGCCUGGGUAAUCUUUGAAAACGUGUCGUGAUGGGGAUAGACGGUUGCAAUUUUCCGUCUUAAACGAGGAAUUCCUAGUAAACGCAAGUCAUCAGCUUGCAUUGAUUACGUCCCUGCCCUUUGUACACACCGCCCGUCGCACCUACCGAUUGAGUGAUCCGGUGAAUAAUUCGGACUGCAGUAGUGUUCAGUUCCUGAACGUUGCAGCGGAAAGUUUAGUGAACCUUAUCACUUAGAGGAAGGAGANGUCGUAACA